GAACGACUCUCGGCAACGGAUAUCUCGGCUCUGGCAUCGAUGAAGAACGUAGCGAAAUGCGAUACUUGGUGUGAAUUGCAGAAUCCCGUGAACCAUCGAGUCUUUGAACGCAAGUUGCGCCCGACGCCUUCUGGCCGAGGGCACGUCUGCCUGGGCGUCACGC
rnacentral:rRNA from 2 species